CCACAUUCUGUUUGGAUAGUCAUCAGAUGGUUUCAGACAGGUCCGGAUGGCGUUCUGUCGAAUACUCAAGGAGAGAUCAUCUAGAGACCUACAAACCUCUCUCUCUGCGGCUUUCUUCUUCCCCAUGGUCUGCACUGAGAAUUCCAGACUCCUAGGCUUCCCUUGGCUCCCAGUCUUAUUAAACUUCAUUAGACGAUGCCAGAUUAUUAGUUUGUUUUCUAGACUAUGUAGCCCAAGCUGGCUUCAAACUUUCUAUCCUUC
rnacentral:lncRNA from 1 species